AACUUCCGUUAAUUGAUUAUGACGUACUUGUACUGAUUGAGAUUUUAACACGAAGUGAGUGGCGAACGGGUGAGUAACACGUGGGUAACCUGCCCAGAAGUAGGGGAUAACACCUGGAAACAGAUGCUAAUACCGUAUAACAGAGAAAACCGCAUGGUUUUCUUUUAAAAGAUGGCUCUGCUAUCACUUCUGGAUGGACCCGCGGCGUAUUAGCUAGUUGGUGAGGUAAAGGCUCACCAAGGCAGUGAUACGUAGCCGACCUGAGAGGGUAAUCGGCCACAUUGGGACUGAGACACGGCCCAGACUCCUACGGGAGGCAGCAGUAGGGAAUCUUCCACAAUGGACGCAAGUCUGAUGGAGCAACGCCGCGUGAGUGAAGAAGGGUUUCGGCUCGUAAAGCUCUGUUGUUAAAGAAGAACGUGGGUAAGAGUAACUGUUUACCCAGUGACGGUAUUUAACCAGAAAGCCACGGCUAACUACGUGCCAGCAGCCGCGGUAAUACGUAGGUGGCAAGCGUUAUCCGGAUUUAUUGGGCGUAAAGCGAGCGCAGGCGGUCUUUUAAGUCUAAUGUGAAAGCCUUCGGCUCAACCGAAGAAGUGCAUUGGAAACUGGGAGACUUGAGUGCAGAAGAGGACAGUGGAACUCCAUGUGUAGCGG
rnacentral:rRNA from 1 species